GGCCGUUUUCUCCCCGGUGGCUCCGCUGUAACAAAGUAACCUCCUCGGCUGCACCAGCUGCUGCCGUUGCGGUGCGAGGCUCGUGCGGUCGACGUGAAGGUCCCUCCUCCAGCCUGGGAGUUGUAGUCCUUUAGAGGCCAUCCUUCCCUGGGGGCCCCAUGGGGCCCAUGGCCCCUGGUGAUCCAGGGGCUCCGGGAUUUCCUGCUGGCCCCGCUGGGCCUGGCAGACUGCAGACCAGCUGGGAGGAGUGGAUGGUGAUGUUGCGACCUCUCUUGGGUGAGGAAUAUGUUGACUGGGAGACGACAACUGACAGCAAACAGAACAUCACACAUAUCUGGAGCAUGAUGGUCACUGUGGAGUCACGAGAAGACGAGGGAGAGUCAUUGUUUACAACAAUACAUUUGUUGUUAGUCAGAUGAAUGAAAUGUCUGUUAACAAAAGCAUAAAAUCUGCAAAGUUACACUGAAAUGGAGAGGGGUGGCAGAAUACAUGCAUACUAUCUACAGCUAGAAUAGAUGAAAAAACAUGUAGCUGUUAUCUAAAUGGGGUGGUCAGUUUCAUGCUAUGACUCACUGUUAAUGAGAAAUAUGAUACAUCAAUUAUGCAGGGGUUAAAUCAAAGCAAAGACUGCCACAUGCUUACAUGUUUUUGCAAAGGGAGUGUACCAGACAUUUUAAAAACACAGAGAAAAAACUUACCAGUUGAGAAAUUAUGACCCAUGGGCAUUUUUCAGCUCUAUCCAAGUUCUUUUUCUGCAUCAGAGUGCACAAACUUUCCUACAUGAUUUUCCAAUAAUCGCAUGAGAUCGCUUCUUCAAGAGAAGCGCUCAGAGAAAUGUGCAGCCCAGUGAAUCAUAGUCCAUAACAUCCACCCUGCUUCAGCAAGUACACUGCCAAAAAAUACUUUCACUAUGAUGUCAUUAAAUUCAAGUCAGGACAACAGUAUUGCACAGCUGAAGUGGUGACGCAUCACAAACUCAUACUGUGGGAAAAUAGGGUGUCAUAUAACAGACAUGAUAAAAUGCAUAGAACAAAGGUUUUGUUAUAUAUAAUCAUGAUAAAGUUACAACUUUGUGUAUUUUAAAUAAUACAAGAAUUUUAUUUUGAAGUGCAAAAUCAAACAGCACAACAGGGUGGCCUGCACUGUGAAUAUUACCAGUUGUGUUUGUUUAUCGCUGUGAUGCAGAGCCAAGAGCUGAGAGACCAAUAAAAAUGUUCCAGCUGUUGGGUGAGGCAGUGCCUUGUGUUUAGCAAUCUACUGUAUUCACCUUUAACUAGAACCAUGUGAAUAGAAAUUACAUAACCGGUUGGUGUUGAUGGUUUCUAUUGGCUAUUAGCAACUAAAAAAACUAAACAAAAAAUAGACACGUGAUCACACCAAAAUCUUACAAUCAGCUCACAUCUGACCUGCACAUACUGUUCUGUAGACAAGGAAUGAAAAGGAGCUGGAAUAAUGUUCAAAUUGUGUGAUAGUGGCAAAAAGUUUUCUCUAUAUUAAAAGCCAAUGAAACACUGCGAAACACUGAGUUAACUACUUACACCCAAUGUAAUGUUACUUAUGAAGCAAUUUAAGAAGCACAGAAUACACGCAUUCAUCCACUGCAGCUGAAAAAGAUCUAUUCCUUGCAAAUCAAAACAAGAAAGAACUUGUUAGAAUGAAGUUAGUAAGAAAAAUAUUAUUCAGUUUAUUCUUUCAGUUAAUUCUGCUCCAUGUCAUACAAUGCUUCCCUAUCCAUCAUUAAUGACCACUGAAGAGAUGAGCAGUAUUUCAUAUGGCUAAUAAAAUGGCUAAUUUUACAUCUGGCAAAGGGACAAUGGUUGAAAAUAAGCCUUUGGCUAACACACAUUUACAGUGAUGUUAAUCAAUGUGCAUUGUCCCUGUUAAAAAAUGAAAUUAAAACUUUUUACACAACACAAAGUAUUCAGACAAAUAUAUUUUUUAUUAAAAUGAUGCAUUAAUCCCACUAAAUGUCAUUUUCCUCAAACUACUGUUAAGACUGAGGGUUGCUCCCAAAUCUAAGAAAUUUGGAAAUCCGUGGAAUUGAUUAAGAACAACAAAAGCACACAUCAUUAUUGUCCUAUGGUCUAUCGACCCGUGGCAUCAAAAACAAAAAGCGUGCAAAAUGAAAUUA